rnacentral:lncRNA from 1 species
CACCCUCUGGAACCAGUUACCCCUGGAAUUGUGUCUGGCCCCUGAUCUCCGCUCCUUCCGCUGUGACCUUAAAACAUGGUUAUUUUCACAAUCCUGCCUGGACUGACAGGGGAUCGGGGUUUUAACUUGGAAUGUUUACUUGCGCUGUAAUUUAAUAUUUUUUAAAUUGUUUUAAUUUUUAUAUUGUUCAUUUUUAUGUACGCCGUCCUGAGUCCUUUGGGAGAGAGGGCGGCCUAUAAAUCCAAAUAAACUAAACUAAAAAAACCAAACUAUUAUAGCCACUUGAAAAUGUCUUGGAGUCCAAAGGUUAUGCAUACAAUAUCAAAUAUCAAAUUCUACUUCCUUUUAGGCAACUGAGUCUUGAAUAAUAGAAGAGAAAGCAUUGGGGGACUUGAUAUCAAUUUCUGACAACAGAAGAAACUACUCUUGGAAAAAUAAAGACAGAAACUUCUGUUCGAAAUACAUAUCUGAACAUGAACAAUUCCAUCACAUUUGAAGAACAGACAAAAGAAAUUGCAGAAGUAUUGUUUACUACCCUUUAUUCAAGGAAGCAACAUCCUCUCCAGCCUAGAAGAAUGAUUGUAAUUGAAGACCUAGAACUGACAAGAUACAGGACCUGGACAAGUGUGCCGGCAGUUGAUUCUACAAGCAGUUUUCAUCCAGCUGAUAUUGCCAGAUUACUGAGAUCCAUAAGAGAUAAGUACAAAGCAGAGUUGGAUGGCCAUGUGCAGGCAAUUAUUGCAGAGGAAAGCAUAACAAAGGGUAAUCUUGGAAGAGGUCUAAACAGUCCAUAGUUUCUUGGUUCUAAUAUAAAAGAGUCAUCUGCUAUUUUGGAGGAAAUAGAGCUGGAGAGUUGCUUCAAAUCUGAAAUGGAACUGCAAAUGAAUUGAAAAAGCAAUUCUGUAAAGAAACAAAAAUUUUUUAAUUAAUUUAAAAAGAAACUCAUAAUAGCUUGGUUAUCAUUCUAAUUAAAUUGUCAGUCAAGGAAUUACAUAGAUAAUUCCUGCAGCCACAAUUCCACAGAAUACAUUACACCAAUUUACAGUCCCUUGUUUUAGUAGAUCAUCAAUUCCUUGGUCCUAGUUAUUAAUAUAUUCCUGUUUCAUACAAAGGAAAUGUCUAUAUUUGGGAAGACUAGAGCAUUACUUGCAUCUCAUUUUCCUGGGUUGUUAGUUGGUGUCAGUUCUUUAUAUGUAAACAUUUGCAGGAUAAAAUAUCUCAGAAAAAAUAUUGUAAAGCAUAUUAGAAAGCUUUAACUAUAUUUAAUAAUUACCUAUCUUUACCCUGUAUUAAAUAUAGAAUAUAGAUAGAACAAAAAUAUAUUUAUGUAUAAGUUAAUUUCUGUUAUUAUUGCACAUAUGAUUGUUAUAU